UACGUAGGGUGCAAGCGUUGUCCGGAAUUAUUGGGCGUAAAGAGCUCGUAGGCGGUCUGUCGCGUCUGCUGUGAAAACUCGGGGCUUAACCCCGGGCCUGCAGUGGGUGACGGGCAGACUAGAGUGCGGUAGGGGAGACUGGAAUUCCUGGUGUAGCGGUGAAAUGCGCAGAUAUCAGGAGGAACACCAGCGGCGAAGGCGGUGCUCUGGGCCGGAACUGACACUGAGGAGCGAAAGCGUGGGUAGCAAACAGG
rnacentral:rRNA from 1 species